GCACCGAUAGUUUAGGGGUAGUAAGUGUUAUAUUCGAAUGGCUGCAUGUAAGCAUGUGGACUAAUUUCUUCUAGGAAUUGAAGCUUCCCAUUCGAGAUCUGCUUCAGGCGCGGGUUCGAGUCCCGCUCGGUGCA